rnacentral:rRNA from 1 species
CCCUUAGACGUUCUGGGCCGCACGCGCGCUACACUGACAAAGGCAACGAGCUACUCUUCACCGAAAGGUGUGGGUAAUCUUUUGAAACUUUGUCGUGCUGGGGAUAGAUCCUUGCAAUUUUUGAUCUUAAACGAGGAAUUCCUAGUAAGCGCAAGUCAUCAACUUGCGUUGAUUACGUCCCUGCCCUUUGUACACACCGCCCGUCGCUACUACCGAUUGAAUGGUUUAGUGAGGCCUUCGGAUCCGCGACUCGUUUGUGGAGAGGUUGGACAAACUCAGUCAUUUAGAGGAAGUAAAAGUCGUAACA